UCCGGCAGCUAGCUCUCUGCAACUCUCACAUGUUCACCCACUGAAGCUAAGCAGGGCUGCGCCAGAUCAGUACCUGGAUGGGAGACCACAUGGGAAAGCUAGGUUGCUGCCGGAA
rnacentral:rRNA from 1 species